CGAGAGUUCAGACUAAACCAUUUUAAUGGAGGGUAGCGGUUCUCCAGGCUGACAGCUCUAAGUCCAGCUGGGUGUUGGCAGGUGCUCAAGCAGAUAUAAAUACCUGGAUCUCAUCCCAUUCUGUGAGGUCUGCAAUGAAUGCAGGAGUACUCUGCCAGGCAAUGUUAAG